GGGCGACUGGCGCAGUGGUAGCGCGCUUCGUUCACACCGAAGAGGUCACUGGUUCGAACCCAGUGUCGCCCA
rnacentral:tRNA from 1 species